AUAUGUAAUUAACAUAUAAUGUGUAUUUAAAAUUAAUUUAUCAAUUUAACUCUAAUAAAAUUAUGAAAUUUUUUUCAGGACCUAAAGAUGAAUUAUGAAAGGAUGUGACAAGUAUCAGUAGUGCAGGAAGAUGCAGAGGUAGAGCAAGACGAGUAAUGAAAAGAGAGAGCUCCUAAGUAAGGAGCAAAUUAUUGGCAUGGGAAAAAUUCCGAUACAAUUUCCUGGUCUAAACACUCCUGUGUUUAGAGGAAAAGAAUUAAUUCAACAGCAAAAACUGCUUGUAAAUCUUGAAAGAAAGCAAAAACUUAUGGAAUUACCACAAAGUCAGACCAGAUCAAUGCAAAUAAAAUUAUCGCCAUUGGAAUGUGGUUGGACGAGUGUUACAAUGGAUGACAGAAGCAUUGAAUUUUAUUAGAUCUUAUUGGAAAAGAUACAUUUGAAAGUUUUGAAACCUGGAUUUUGGAAAACAAAAUGAUAACUUGUAUGACCGGUAAUUUAGCACGUAAGAUCAGUUCAUUUAUAGUAACUGGAAAUGGAAAUGGAUUAGACAUAAAGCUAAAAAAAAACGUGGAUUGUGUCGAUUAAUUAAUUAAUUGU